UUACCUCAGUAACGGCGAGUGAAGCGGUAACAGCUCAAAUUUGAAAUCUGGCCUCACGGUCCGAGUUGUAAUUUGUAGAGGAUGCUUCGAGCAUGGUCUGGCCUAAGUUCCUUGGAACAGGACGUCAUAGAGGGUGAGAAUCCCGUAUGCGGUCAGGUGCCUACGCUCAUGUGAAGCUCCUUCGACGAGUCGAGUUGUUUGGGAAUGCAGCUCAAAAUGGGUGGUAAAUUUCAUCUAAAGCUAAAUAUUGGCCAGAGACCGAUAGCGCACAAGUAGAGUGAUCGAAAGAUGAAAAGCACUUUGGAAAGAGAGUUAAACAGUACGUGAAAUUGUUGAAAGGGAAGCGCUUGCAACCAGACUUGCGCGCGGCCGAUCAUCUGGUGUUCUCACCGGUGCACUCGGCCGUGCUCAGGCCAGCAUCGGUUUUGGCGGCUGGAUAAAGGCCCCAGGAAUGUGGCUCCUCUCGGGGAGUGUUAUAGCCUGGGGUGCAAUGCAGCCUGCUGGGACCGAGGACCGCGCUUCGGCUAGGAUGCUGGCGUAAUGGUUGUAAGCGGCCCGUCUUGAAACACGGACCAAGGAGUCUAACAUCUAUGCGAGUGUUUGGGUGUCAAACCCAUACGCGUAAUGAAAGUGAACGGAGGUGAGAACCCUUAAGGGUGCAUCAUCGACCGAUCCUGAUGUCUUCGGAAGGAUUUGAGUAAGAGCAUAGCUGUUGGGACCCGAAAGAUGGUGAACUAUGCCCUGAAUAGGGUGAAGCCAGAGGAAACUCUGGGUGGGAGGCUCGCAGCGGGUUCUGACGUGCAAAAUCGAUCGUCAAAAUUUUGGGGGUAUAGGGGGG
rnacentral:rRNA from 1 species